rnacentral:pre_miRNA from 1 species
AGUUAAAGUUUUCAUUCAUAUCUACGGUUAAACACUAACAUGACUGACAGAAUAACUAGACAACUACAUCUGGCAUAUCAUAUAUACCAUACUGACAUAUAAAGACCAAUUUUUAAUAAUAAAAAUAGAUGAAAAUUUUAAUA